UCCUCUCUAGCUCAGUUGCUUAGAGCAUAGUGCUGAUAAUGCCAAGGUUGCAGGUUCGAUCCCUGUAUGGGGAC
rnacentral:tRNA from 1 species